rnacentral:rRNA from 1 species
CUACGUGCCAGCAGCCGCGGUAAUACGUAGGUGGCAAGCGUUGUCCGGAAUUAUUGGGCGUAAAGCGCGCGCAGGCGGAUUGGUCAGUCUGUCUUAAAAGUUCGGGGCUUAACCCCGUGAUGGGAUGGAAACUGCCAAUCUAGAGUAUCGGAGAGGAAAGUGGAAUUCCUAGUGUAGCGGUGAAAUGCGUAGAUAUUAGGAAGAACACCAGUGGCGAAGGCGACUUUCUGGACGAAAACUGACGCUGAGGCGCGAAAGCCAGGGGAGCGAACGGGAUUAGAUACCCCGGUAGUCCUGGCCGUAAACGAUGGGUACUAGGUGUAGGAGGUAUCGACCCCUUCUGUGCCGGAGUUAACGCAAUAAGUACCCCGCCUGGGGAGUACGACCGCAAGGUUGAAACUCAAAGGAAUUGACGGGGGCCCGCACAAGCGGUGGAGUAUGUGGUUUAAUUCGAUGAUACGCGAGGAACCUUACCCGGGCUUGAA